UGGGGAAUUUUGGACAAUGGGCGAAAGCCUGAUCCAGCAAUGCCGCGUGUGUGAAGAAGGCCUUCGGGUUGUAAAGCACUUUUGUCCGGAAAGAAAUCCUUGGCUCUAAUACAGUCGGGGGAUGACGGUACCGGAAGAAUAAGCACCGGCUAACUACGUGCCAGCAGCCGCGGUAAUACGUAGGGUGCAAGCGUUAAUCGGAAUUACUGGGCGUAAAGCGUGCGCAGGCGGUUUGCUAAGACCGAUGUGAAAUCCCCGGGCUCAACCUGGGAACUGCAUUGGUGACUGGCAGGCUAGAGUAUGGCAGAGGGGGGUAGAAUUCCACGUGUAGCAGUGAAAUGCGUAGAGAUGUGGAGGAAUACCGAUGGCGAAGGCAGCCCCCUGGGCCAAAUACUGACGCUCAUGCACGAAAGCGUGGGGAGCAAACAGGAUUAGAUACCCUGGUAGUCCACGCCCUAAACGAUGUCAACUAGUUGUUGGGGACUUCAUUUCCUUAGUAACGUAGCUAACGCGUGAAGUUGACCGCCUGGGGAGUACGGUCGCAAGAUUAAAACUUAAAGGAAUUGACGGGGUCAUAGCUGUUUCCU
rnacentral:rRNA from 1 species